AUGGGUCAUUGCAAGUUUGUAACAAACAAGGAGAAGAUGAUGUUGAUCAUUUUGAUCUUCAGCCUAAAGUUCUCUCAGGUGUCUACCCAAAGAAACGACAGUGAAGAUGGAGGAAGAUCUACAUCAGACAUCCUGAAAAUUGUACUCCAGUUACUACUGGGUCCUUUUUUGGCAUGUAUGAUAUAUUCUCUAUGGAGACAUCAGGCACGCUUACGUCGUCAACGAUAACAACACCAGCAUUAGUUUCCAUGAGGAGCAGAGAGGAGGAUCAAUAACACAUGAUCAUCAAUCUGUGUAUUGAUUUGACAGAGAAAUUUAAGGAAACCAGCAGCUGAUCUUAGUCAUCUUAAGCUGUUGUCUAAACAUCAAUUUGACAACAGCUUGUAGAAAUCCAUAGUUACAUUUUAGCAGUUCAUUUAUAUUUUCUAUUAAUUUUUCUCUUAUUUCUGCAUCUGAUGUUGUUUCCAGAAACAUCAAAAAUAUUACUGUCUUUACGUUAUUUACAUUCCUAGUUUAUAAGGACAUCAUAUGAUAUUUUUAGAGUUCAUGUUUCUGCUCUUUUUGGUGUUUUAAAGGUGAAGUCUGUAAGAUGUUAACACAUAAGUCCUUCUACUAAUGAAGGUGUGUGCAGGAAGGUGUGUUCAGGCCUAAAGAUUGGUUUCACAAACAGAUGUAAAUGUAUAUUCAUGGGAUAAUAAAAGUUUAUUCUAUUCU